UACGGGGGGGCAAGCGUUGUUCGGAAUUACUGGGCGUAAAGGCUCGUAGGUGGCCAACUAAGUCAGACGUGAAAUCCCUCGGCUUAACCGGGGAACUGCGUCUGAUACUGGAUGGCUUGAGUAUGGGAGAGGAUGAGGGAAUUCCUGGUGUAGCGGUGAAAUGCGUAGAUAUCAGGAGGAACACCGGUGGCGAAGGCGCUCAUCUGGCCCAAUACUGACGCUGAGGCGCGAAAGCUAGGGGAGCAAACGGG
rnacentral:rRNA from 1 species